UAAGUACGUUCUGUGCAACAGCUAUCUUAAAUUCCCCAUAGCCGCCAUUUCCUUACCAGUUUUUCAUUUCUCUGACAAAUCAAUAGUGGAAGGAAAAAUAAGCAGUCAUGCAUCCCCGCCAAGGAAACUGAGUUGAUUGUCCACGAGGUUGAUUUUUCUCACAGUAACUAAAAUUGGAAGUAAAAUUCAGUAACUCAAAUUUUACUGAAAAAAUAAGACCUGGUUAACAGGGGCGCCUGGGUGGCUCAGUGAUUGAGCAUCUGCCUUGGGCUCAGGGUGUGAUCCCAGGGUCUGGGGAUCAAAUCCUGCAUCAGGCUUCUCGCAGGGAGUCUGCUUCUCCUUCUAUCUAUGUCUCUGCCUCUCUCUGUGUGUCUCUCAUGAGUAAAUAAAUAAAAUCCUUAAAAAAAAAAAACAGUUAACAAAAAUCUAGGUGGUACAAAAUGGUAUACGCCAAAAAAAGGAAAUAUCUUUCCUAUCCCAGGCCAGUGUCCUCCACUUCCUCUCCCUAGAGGCCACCACUGUUACCAUUUUAUCCUUCCAGAAAAGUUCUAUGCAUAUGCAUGCCCAUAUAUAACCCUCUUUUUUCCCACCAGUGUGAACAUACUAGAUGUACUGAUUUGCACCUUGAUGCGCUAUUUUCAGCUCCAAAUUGCCUGGCUACAGUGGGAUACAGGCUGUUGAUUCUGCGGGUCCUUAGGAAAAACAGCCCUUUGAAACACGUUGCUACCGCUAUUGUAAGGAUGUUGUCAAGGAUGUCGUUCAUUGUAUCCCACAGCAUCCUCUCUGAGGACCCCCGGGAGGAAUUCCUGUCUGAUCUUAGUACUAAGAACACUUGCCCUUCUGAGCAACGAGUUUGUUUUUAUCUUCUGGACAUUGUGAAUUGUAUAAUGACAAGGUUUCCCCUUUCCUGUUGGCUGCUGGAAAGCUUAUGGCCAACUUUGAGACCCACCCCUGGUGGGAGCAGAGGCUUUUAUAGUAUGCAUUUCUACCCUUAUUCUUGGCUUGGCUUUCUGGCUGCCUUUGCUUUGCGAGCUUUCAUGUAUCCUGCCCUGACUUACCUUGUGCGUCCUUGUAAGCAGACAAUGACUUUUCUGAGAAAAGGUGAAGUUGGAAUAAUUCCGUAACUGCCAGGCUUCACUCACUCUCUCCCAUUCCCAACCACCCCUCCCUUAUCCCCUGUUAUAUCCUUCCAGCAGCUUCCCAGGGCUCCCCUCUGGUCUGCUUGUCAAAGACACUCCCCUCCAUCCUUCUAUCCCAGCCAGGUAUCAUUUGUCUUGGGCCUUGGGAGGGGGGCCUCACUUUCUUGCAUUGCCCCCAUCCCCACCUCUCGCCACCAUCCUCAUCUCCGUAUGCAUUGCAAGCAGCUUGAUUUAAUCAUUCUAGAACUGAAGACUCUGGCCGCUGACCACACGUCAGAACCAUCCUUCAUCCAUCCAAGGUUCCAGCUGGUUCUGCUGUUUGCUAAUGUCCGUACCACGUGCUAUAAGAACAGGGCCAUUGGGAUGCCUGGUUGGCUCAGCGAUUGAGUGUCUGCCUUGGGCUCAGGUCGUGAUCCCAGGGUCCAGGGAUUAAGUCUUGCAUCAGGCUCCCCACAGGGAGCCUGCUUCUCCCUCUGCCUAUGUCUCUGCCUGUCACUGUGUGUCUCUCAUGAAUAAAUAAAAAAAUAUUUUUUAAUAUUUUAAAUGUCAUGUUAUGUCUAUGGACCAAGAAAGGGUUGCAUAGAAGAGAUUAAUUCUUUUCAAAGGGAGCUGCAUCCCAGCUAACCUUGAUUCACAGGUGAAGGAUUUGAGGGGCCGGGAAGGCAGAGUGAUCUCUGGAAAAAGCAUGAAGACCCUACAGAAAACAUAGGAGCCCCAAGCUCUGUCCCUUGACCCACUACUUGAGUGGCUGGUCAAUGUUGGACCAGUCCUGUCCCCUCUCUGACACUAGUUUUUUAAUCUCUAAAGAUAGAAAGAUUAGGGGAUCUUUAAGGGCCCUUCCAGCUUUGGCGGUUCUUGGGCACAUGCUUCUGACCACUCUUGUCGUGGCCUCUGUCCACUCCCUUCCAUCCUAUGGAUUUCCCAGCUCUGUGAGCCAGUCUAGUGAUCUUAGCAGAUACUGGAGGAUGUGCUCAUCCCUUUGCUGCUGCAGAUCUGCCUGUACUGGGCCACUAACAAGACAUUUCUAGUCCUUGGCCAUAGGAGGGAGGUUCCUGCAAUUACCAAGCUUCUAAACUGGCAGAGAUGCCCCUGUAGACUAGGGUAGCCUGAAUGUUAAUUUAACAUAGUAAGAAGUUCAAGGGCAAGCCAGAUAGAAGGUUUGAUAGGACCACUGCUUAGCUAGUUGAUUUUCCAUUUGAUGAGCAAUGCAGGACUGUCCAUUUCACACUGCCACACACUGGCUAGUGGAUGGUUUGGAUCAUAAUGAAUGCCCUUCUCUGUGGUCCUGAUUAGCACAAUGACCAGUCCCAUCAGAACUGACAGUACUCAGGGAGAUCCCUGGGUGGCUCAGCGGUUUAGCGCCUGGCUUUGGCCCAGGGCGUGAUCCUGGAGUCCCGGGAUUGUGUCCCACAUUGGGCUCCCUGUAUGGAGCCUGCUCCUCCCUCUGCCUGUAUAUCUGCCUCUCUCUCU
rnacentral:lncRNA from 1 species